rnacentral:sRNA from 22 species
CGGGUGAUGCCGUCGGCGGCCCCUUUGAGGCGUGCUGGCUCUGGAGAACAGCCCUGGCGAUCAUCCCUCCAUUCCUGGAGGUCAACGCCCUGGCUGCCACCUGGUACGUGCCGCUCUGCUGGCGUCAGAGCAGUGACGAUGACGCACCGA